CUAACCCUAAUCCCCAUUUCUCCCCUUCUCUCCCCCGAUCCAAUCUCCCGGCGAGCGAGCGAGUGGAAUCGGCGGCGAUCAUGGCGGCGACGGCGUUCCGGCGAGGUGGAGCACGCGUGCGACGACAAGCGCCGAGCGGCUUCCAUUUGCCGUGGCUGGGGGCGCAGCCGAGAAGGGCGCCAAGCCGUGCCAUGGCGUUGGCGGUCCGGCGAGGCGGCGGAGCCCGAAGGUAGCUGCCAAGCCGGCGCUUAUCGUCCCCGGCGAGGGACGGUGAGGAGGGGACUCCAAGGCGGCGCGCGCAUGGACGUCAACCAGCGCGACCGUGAUGGAGAGGCGGCGAGGGCACGCCGAGGCACACGUGGGCGAAGGAGUUGCCCGUGCGGCGACGACGACGAUGCCUUCUUCCCGGCGAAGCCCGUACGGCGGCGCUAAUGUCGUGCGGCAUCUCCGGUGGCUUAGGGCUUCAACGAUCCGAAGGUCCUGCAUUACUGCAAACGGAUCCUCAUCAGGGGAAAGCAGUACAAUGGAGCGUCGUUGACUGAUCACCAACCCCAGCAAACACUAGAUGCAGCAUACAAAUGGCUUAGCUGAGCACAAGAAGUUAUAGGCUGAUGGUAGAAGCUAGGAAGGAAUCUGAAGGAGCUCUGGUUCCUGGCUUGAUUGAUCUUGCUGCUGCUUCUCCGAUCCUCCGGCCUCUGCUAUGUUCCUCGACUCCUGCUCCGGUUGCUAUCUCACACAUCUCUCUCAAUUUCUACUGAUAUAUUUUUUCAGUCCUUUAUUUCCAGACCACCAAAGAACAAACUAAAGCUCAGAUCGAUCGGUAGCCAUGGAUGCCGUGGUGAGUGUCUCACAUGGGGCACUGGGGCCGCUACUGGGCAAGCUCAGUACCUUGCUCGCAGACAAGUACGCGUGCUUGAAAGGUGUCCGCCGUGAGAUCCAUUCCCUAAGAUCGGAGCUGAGCAACAUGCAAGCGGCGCUCCACAAGUAUGCGUCACUCGAGGACCCUGACAUCCAGGUGAAGGCCUGGAUCACCGAGCUGAGGGAGCUUGCCUAUGACAUCGAGGACUGCAUAGACAAGUUUAUGCACCAACUUGGUGCCAACGGUGAGCAGCACCGCACCAGUAAUAGCAUCGAGGACUUCUUUAGGAAGAGUAUACAACGUCUCAAAACUCUUGGCCCGAGGCAUAAUAUUGCUGGCGAGAUUGAGGAACUGAAGGCACGAGUUAUCUCGGUGAGAGAUCAAAAGAACAGCUACAAGCUUGACGAUAUUUUUUGCAGUAGCUCUAGCAAUACCAAUGCUUCUGUUGAUCCACGGUUGGCUACUCUCUUCGCGGAAGAGAACCAUCUUGUCGGUAUAGAUGGCCCAAGGGUUGAACUUGUCAAUUGGUUGGAUGCAGAGAGCAGGUUGAUAAAGUGUCGCAAGGUAUUAUCUAUUGUGGGGUUUGGAGGUCUUGGGAAGACAACUCUAGCGAAUGAGGUAUAUCGUAGGGUUAAAGUUCAUUUUGACUGCCAUGCAUUUGUGUCAGUGUCACAAAAGCCCGAUUUCAAGAAUAUCUUCAAGGAUAUAACAUACAAUAUGCCUACGAAAGAUGGUUUCCUCAAAGAUAUUGACACAUGGAAUGAAAAGAAAUUUAUUGAAAAGCUAAGAGAACUACUUGUGGAUAAGAGGUAUCUUGUUAUAAUUGAUGAUGUAUGGUCUAUUUCGGCAUGGAAAGCUAUCACGGUUGCAUUCCCGGAUAAUGACUGUUCCAGUACAAUUAUAGUUACUACACGCGUUUCCGAUGUUGGAUGGUCAUGCUGCUUAAAUGGCAUUGACCGCAAUUAUCAGAUGGAACCUCUAAGUGAAGUUCACUCUGGAAGACUAUUUUGCAAGAGAAUUUUCAGUACAAAUGAGGAUGGCUGCCCAGAUAUUUUACAGGAAGUUUCAACAGAUAUAUUGAAGAAAUGUGGCGGUCUUCCAUUAGCAAUUAUUAGCAUAUCUGGCUUAUUAGCAAAUAGACCAGUUAUCAAGGAAGAGUGGGAGAAAGUGAAAGAAUCGAUUGGUUUUGCAUUGGACAAGAACCAAAAUCUAGAAGGAAUGAAAAUCAUACUGUCCCUUAGCUUUAAUAACCUUCCAAACUAUCUCAAGACUUGUUUGCUAUAUUUGAGCAUAUUUCCAGAGGAUUGUAUUAUUGAAAGAAACAUGGUAGUAUGGCGAUGGAUAGCUGAAGGCUUUAUCUCUGAAGACUGUGGGCAGAAAUUGGAAGAUGUUGCGGAGAGCUACUUUUAUGAGCUCAUCAACAAAAGUCUGGUUCAACCUGUGGACAUUGGUUUUGAUGGUAAGGCUCGUGCAUGCCGUGUCCAUGAUAUAAUGCUUCAAUUUAUCUCCUCAAAAGCAACAGAAGAGAAUUUUGUUACAUUAUUAGGUGGCCAAACUAGAAAAACGAAUUCGCAUCAUUAUGUUCGGCGAUUAUCCAUUCAGGACACUAAUAAUCAUUUGUCAACUCUGUUAGCAAACAAAAAUUUAUGCCAUGUUCGAUCCCUACACUGCUUUGGUGGGAACAUAAUUUUUUUGCCCUAGCUUUCCCGGUUUGAGGUUCUACGAGUAUUGGAUUUUCAUGGCUCUCAAGGUUUAGAGCAGUAUUUGGAAAAUAUAGACAAGCUAUUCCAGCUUGAGUACUUAAGCCUUUGUUGUUCAAACAUAUCACAUAUACCAACACAAAUUGCAAAGCUCCAAAAUUUGGUGACGCUGGACCUUCGCCAAACAUGCGUAGAAGAGUUUCCCACUGAAUUUUGCCGAUUGAUAAAGCUACAACAUCUUCUCGGAGAUCGGAUGUUGAAGCUACCGGAUGGAAUUGGGAAUAUGAGGAAUCUACAGGUGCUAUCAGGCAUUAAUAUAAGCAGUAGCUCAGCGAGCGCAGUGGCAGAACUUGGUGAGCUGACCAGUUUGAGGGACCUCAAAAUAAGUUUGUCUGAUAAACUCAGCAAGUGCAAGACAAAAGAAGAGAUGUUACUCGCCUCACUUUGUAAACUAAGCAGCUACAAACUCCAAUCAUUGCACAUUAUAGAUCACAGUACCGAUGAUUUCUUAGAACGUUGGUUCCCUAUCCCUUGUUUCCUCCGAUUGUUUCACAUGAUCACUGACUACUAUCUCCUGCAACUUCCAAAGUGGGUUAAACCGUAUCUCACCAAAAUGGCAUACCUUAGCAUAAAUUUACGUGAGAUAAAGAAGGAAGAUAUGGAAACACUUGGAGACCUGCCAGCCUUACUCAGUCUAGAAAUAUGGCUGGAACCUGACCCAAAAGAACAGCUUACAGUCCAAAGCACAGGAUUCCUAUUUCUUAAGGAGUUUGUCCUUGCUUGUAGCGAUCACAAUGGUGGAGCAUACCUUACGUUUGAGAAAGGAGCUAUGCCAAAGCUGGAGAAGCUUGAGAUUCUAUUUCACGUUUUAAUGGCAGAACCCCAUGAUUUCUAUUUUGGCAUCAACAACCUCCAACAUCUCAAAGAAGUGGAGGUAUUUAUCUACCGUGUGGGCGCUGAAGAUUCUGAUGCUGAGGCUGCGGUGGCUGCCAUCAGGAGCGAAGCAAAUGCAAAUCCCAACCAUCCUAGACUUGCCAUCAAGGAAGCAUACGUCGAAGAGAUCAGUAACAAAGAGUGUGAUGAUAACAAGGAUGCAGAGGAUCAGCAAGGCGGUGUUACUGUCAACUAAUAUCGUUGCCAGCGGCGAUGUUUCUAGUGACCCAUGAAAGAGGUAUACAGAAUCAUCACUAAAUUGCAAACUAGUCGUGUGGUAGUGGUACUUCUAUUUGUGUACUUUUAUGACCUGUUGCUUUGUUUUGCUCUACAAGAAAUUUGCUCUUCCCAUUUCUCUCGGAUGUUUUCCGUUGCACGUCGUGAAGCCUGAAUUUGGAGUCCACACACUUUUGGGGCUUAUUAAAUUAUGUGUGUUUCACAUUGUUAAUGUAAUGUACUAAUGUUGUAAUCGGCAUUUUGUCUUACUAAAGCAUGAUCCUGCAUGUUGCAGUUCUUUUUAAAAUAAUGGAACAA